GAGGGAUCAUUACACAAAUAUGAAGGCGGGCUGGAACCUCUCGGGGUUACAGCCUUGCUGAAUUAUUCACCCUUGUCUUUUGCGUACUUCUUGUUUCCUUGGUGGGUUCGCCCACCACUAGGACAAACAUAAACCUUUUGUAAUUGCAAUCAGCGUCAGUAACAAAUUAAUAAUUACAACUUUCAACAACGGAUCUCUUGGUUCUGGCAUCGAUGAAGAACGCAGCGAAAUGCGAUAAGUAGUGUGAAUUGCAGAAUUCAGUGAAUCAUCGAAUCUUUGAACGCACAUUGCGCCCUUUGGUAUUCCAAAGGGCAUGCCUGUUCGAGCGUCAUUUGUACCCUCAAGCUUUGCUCGGUGUUGGGCGUCUUGUCUCUAGCUUUGCUGGAGACUCGCCUUAAAGUAAUUGGCAGCCGGCCUACUGGUUUCGGAGCGCAGCACAAGUCGCACUCUCUAUCAGCAAAGGUCUAGCAUCCAUUAAGCCUUUUUUUCAACUUUUGACCUCGGAUCAGGUAGGGAUACCCGCUGAACUUAAGCAUAUCAAUAAGCGGAGGAAAAGAAACCAACAGGGAUUGCCCUAGUAACGGCGAGUGAAGCGGCAACAGCUCAAAUUUGAAAUCUGGCUCUUUUAGAGUCCGAGUUGUAAUUUGCAGAGGGCGCUUUGGCUUUGGCAGCGGUCCAAGUUCCUWUGAACAGGACGUCAUAGAGGGUGAG
rnacentral:rRNA from 1 species